rnacentral:rRNA from 1 species
GACGAACGCUGGCGGCGUGCUUAACACAUGCAAGUCGAACGGAAAGGCCCUGCUUUUGUGGGGUGCUCGAGUGGCGAACGGGUGAGUAACACGUGAGUAACCUGCCCUUGACUUUGGGAUAACUUCAGGAAACUGGGGCUAAUACCGGAUAGGAGCUCCUGCUGCAUGGUGGGGGUUGGAAAGUUUCGGCGGUUGGGGAUGGACUCGCGGCUUAUCAGCUUGUUGGUGGGGUAGUGGCUUACCAAGGCUUUGACGGGUAGCCGGCCUGAGAGGGUGACCGGCACAUUGGGACUGAGAUACGGCCCAGACUCCUACGGGAGGCAGCAGUGGGGAAUAUUGCACAAUGGGCGGAAGCCUGAUGCAGCAACGCCGCGUGCGGGAUGACGGCCUUCGGGUUGUAAACCGCUUUCGCCUGUGACGAAGCGUGAGUGGCGGUAAUGGGUAAAGAAGCACCGGCUAACUACGUG